rnacentral:misc_RNA from 1 species
GUGAAUCAUCAAAUUUUUGAACGCAAAUUGCGCCUUUUGCGAAAGGCAUGUCUGUUUGUGGUCACCGGUUAACAAAUAAUGUGCAGCGUUUUUUGUUGCACACGUUGAUGAGCUUUCCAAGAAUUUUAAAUUUUUGGUGUCGCAUAAUGAACAGCGUGAAAGUUUUUUUCAGUUCGCGUGUAGUUAAAUCUUUGCUUGGGUUGUGUAAAAACAUAAUCGCGCAAUGGGUGUUGCAAUUUCUUUUUAUCUCUGCUCCAACGCCACUCUUUCUCGCGAAAGAAUAUUAAU